rnacentral:misc_RNA from 1 species
UCGUGGGGGCUCGCCCCCAUCGAGAUAGAACCCUUGAUUUUUGAGAACCCUCCGUUUCCUCGGCAGGUCCGCCUGCCAACGGGGACACUCUAAACUCUUUGUAAUAGCAGUACCUUCUGAUAUAAAACAAAAAGUCA